GGAGCGGUGACAGCGGGGUCGGGGUCCCGCGUGUCCCAGCCGGGCAGCGGCUGCUCCGCACAGCGCCCCGCCUCUGCCCGGGGUUUGCGGAGAGAGAGCAAAGAGGCUGUGUUUACGGUCAGGAGGGAUGGCCCCUGGGUGACCCAACUUGAAGAGUUUUCUUAAAUUCUCAGAUGGAGGAGACGUUUAGUGCAGUUGGUGGAUUGUGAGAACAGUGGAAGCCCUCCACCCGCCAGAAGUAUGUGACCUGAUGCACGCAGCCCCUUUCCAGAACAGCUUGCCAAGAGUCCACAUGAAAGGAGCACCAUGGCCUGGCGCACGCGGACAGCUGCGGGAACAAAGAACUCCUACAGCAAGAAGUUUACAACAACUAACACGCACCCCGCCUUUUUUUUUUUUUUUUUGUAUAGAAUGAGCCUGUAUUCUGACUGGGGGAGGAUGGUUCUCCAAGGCAUUAGUUGGCCAUCCUCUCAGUCAGCUGGCUUUCCAAAUAAAGUUGCCAUUCUUUGCCCCAA